rnacentral:tRNA from 1 species
UCCCUUGAGGUGUAACCGGCUGCAUGGCCCGCUGUUAACGGGUUGGACCAGGUUCGAGUCCUGGCGGGGGAG